UCGCCUGUUUAUCAAAAACAUAGCCCUAAGAAUUUAUUUAGGGUGAAGCCUGCCCAAUGAGUUUUUUUAAUGGCCGCGGUACUCUGACCGUGCUAAGGUAGCAUAAUCAAUUGACUUUUGAAUGAAGUCUGGAAUGAARGGAARAACGGGGCUUAGCUGUCUCWAUUUUUYUAUUUUWAAGUUACUAAUUAGGUGAAAAGGCCUAAAUAAGAUAAUAGACGAGAAGACCCUUAGAGCUUUNUAUAURUUUUCGUUGGGGCGACGAAGGGUUNAAGUGAACACCCURUUAAUAUAMAAAGGGUUAACCAUAGGWAGAUAAGCUACCUGAGGGAUAACAGCAUAAUCUUUUUUAGGUUUGUGACCUCGAUGUUGGACUAGGGAAYUUUUAGGUUAGCCGCUUAAAGAAAUAAUUCUGUUCGAAUAUUACCCCCUACGUGAUCUGAGUUCAGACC
rnacentral:rRNA from 1 species